UAAGACGAACCGUGCGAACGUUAUUCGGAAUCACUGGGCUUAAAGCGCGUGUAGGCGGAGUCCCCCGUCCGAGGCUGAAAGCCCCCGGCUCAACCGGGGAACGGGCCCGGAGACGAGGACUCUGGAGGGGGGUAGGGGGAGCCGGAACUUCCGGUGGAGCGGUGAAAUGCGUUGAGAUCGGAAGGAACGCCCGUGGCGAAAGCGGGCUCCUGGGCCCCACCUGACGCUGAGACGCGAAAGCCAGGGGAGCGAACGGGAUUAGAUACCCCGGUAGUCCUGGCCGUAAACCAUGGGCACUGGGUAGGGGACUCGCCGAUGGGUUCCCUGCCGGAGCGAAAGCGUGAAGUGCCCCGCCUGGGGAGUAUGGUCGCAAGGCUG
rnacentral:rRNA from 1 species